rnacentral:pre_miRNA from 1 species
CAAAUACUCCCUCCGUCCGGAAAUACUUGUCAUCAAAAUGGAUAAAAGGAAAUGUAUCUAGACGUAUUUUAGUUUUAGAUACAUCUCUUUUUAUCCAUUUUGAUGACAAGUAUUCUCGGACAGAGGGAGUAGAAA